rnacentral:snRNA from 1 species
GUGCUGGCUUGGAAGUACAUAUGCUACAAUUGGAACCACACAGAUGACCAUGAUUCCUGUGCAAGGAUGCCAUGCAAAUUCAUGAAGUGUUCCAUAUCUUU